rnacentral:rRNA from 1 species
UGGGGAAUAUUGCACAAUGGGCGCAAGCCUGAUGCAGCCAUGCCGCGUGUAUGAAGAAGGCCUUCGGGUUGUAAAGUACUUUCAGUCGGGAGGAAGGUGUCAAGGUUAAUAACCUUGGCAAUUGACGUUACCGACAGAAGAAGCACCGGCUAACUCCGUGCCAGCAGCCGCGGUAAUACGGAGGGUGCAAGCGUUAAUCGGAAUUACUGGGCGUAAAGCACACGCAGGCGGUUGAUUGAGUCAGAUGUGAAAUCCCCGGGCUUAACCCGGGAAUUGCAUCUGAUACUGGUCAGCUAGAGUCUUGUAGAGGGGGGUAGAAUUCCAUGUGUAGCGGUGAAAUGCGUAGAGAUGUGGAGGAAUACCGGUGGCGAAGGCGGCCCCCUGGACAAAGACUGACGCUCAGGUGCGAAAGCGUGGGGAGCAAACAGG